rnacentral:lncRNA from 1 species
AUGACUGGACAGUCUGCCCCCACUGUGACUUCCCUGCCCUCUAUUCAGAAUUCAAGAACAUGUUACAGAGUGAAAAUAUAUGUCCAAUGUGUUCUGAAAGAAUUAACAUUGUUCAUCUUAAGAAAAUCAGUGACUGCACACAGUACCUCAAACAAGACACGGACCAGUAAGUUCAGAACAGCCUGUCUUGCUCAGCAAGCUGCAAGGAACUCUAUCACUGCAUCACAUGCUUUCUCCACUGGGAUUUAACAACCAUAUCACUUCUAUUUUGUGAUAAUCUGUAAAUAUUUAGCUUUUGAUAAAUUUUGUACUUUGAUUUAUUAUAGUAAUAAACACCAUUGAUUAAAUUAAAAUCUUACCA